rnacentral:rRNA from 1 species
GAUGAACGCUGGCGGCGUGCCUAAUACAUGCAAGUCGAGCGAACGGACGAGAAGCUUGCUUCUCUGAUGUUAGCGGCGGACGGGUGAGUAACACGUGAAUAACCUACCUAUAAGACUGGGAUAACUUCGGGAAACCGGAGCUAAUACCGGAUAAUAUUUUGAACCGCAUGGUUCAAAAGUGAAUGACGGUCUUGCUGUCACUUAUAGAUGGAUCCGCGCUGCAUUAGCUAGUUGGUAAGGUAACGGCUUACCAAGGCAACGAUGCAUAGCCGACCUGAGAGGGUGAUCGGCCACACUGGAACUGAGACACGGUCCAGACUCCUACGGGAGGCAGCAGUAGGGAAUCUUCCGCAAUGGGCGAAAGCCUGACGGAGCAACGCCGCGUGAGUGAUGAAGGUCUUCGGAUCGUAAAACUCUGUUAUUAGGGAAGAACAUAUGUGUAAGUAACUGUGCACAUCUUGACGGUACCUAAUCAGAAAGCCACGGCUAACUACGUGCCAGCAGCCGCGGUAAUACGUAGGUGGCAAGCGUUAUCCGGAAUUAUUGGGCGUAAAGCGCGCGUAGGCGGUUUUUUAAGUCUGAUGUGAAAGCCCACGGCUCAACCGUGGAGGGUCAUUGGAAACUGGAAAACUUGAGUGCAGAAGAGGAAAGUGGAAUUCCAUGUGUAGCGGUGAAAUGCGCAGAGAUAUGGAGGAACACCAGUGGCGAAGGCGACUUUCUGGUCUGUAACUGACGCUGAUGUGCGAAAGCGUGGGGAUCAAACAGGAUUAGAUACCCUGGUAGUCCACGCCGUAAACGAUGAGUGCUAAGUGUUAGGGGGUUUCCGCCCCUUAGUGCUGCAGCUAACGCAUUAAGCACUCCGCCUGGGGAGUACGACCGCAAGGUUGAAACUCAAAGGAAUUGACGGGGACCCGCACAAGCGGUGGAGCAUGUGGUUUAAUUCGAAGCAACGCGAAGAACCUUACCAAAUCUUGACAUCCUUUGACAACUCUAGAGAUAGAGCCUUCCCCUUCGGGGGACAAAGUGACAGGUGGUGCAUGGUUGUCGUCAGCUCGUGUCGUGAGAUGUUGGGUUAAGUCCCGCAACGAGCGCAACCCUUAAGCUUAGUUGCCAUCAUUAAGUUGGGCACUCUAAGUUGACUGCCGGUGACAAACCGGAGGAAGGUGGGGAUGACGUCAAAUCAUCAUGCCCCUUAUGAUUUGGGCUACACACGUGCUACAAUGGACAAUACAAAGGGCAGCGAAACCGCGAGGUCAAGCAAAUCCCAUAAAGUUGUUCUCAGUUCGGAUUGUAGUCUGCAACUCGACUACAUGAAGCUGGAAUCGCUAGUAAUCGUAGAUCAGCAUGCUACGGUGAAUACGUUCCCGGGUCU